AGUACGCUCAAGAACGCGGCGCGGCCUCCGCGGGCUGCACUUGUCGAGGGAAACCACCCGCCCCGCUCGUCACGGGCGGCUCGCAGCCCAGGCGCAUGCGCGCCUCUCGCCUUCCGCGCCCUUUCGCGUAGACUCCCGAAUACGCUUGCGCCCCAUCUGGACUGCGGUUGCUCAGCGAGAGCAGUCCGUCCUCAAGACGACCAAUAGUCGUGCGGAAGGGGCCCGCGUCCCGCCUCCCAGCGAUGCGAGGCGCCGUCAGCGCCCCGCCCCGCCCCGCCCCGCCGCCCCGCGACUCCCGCGACUCCCGCGGCUGCGCGUCAAGGGGCUGCUUCCCGGCCGAGCGCCGGCUUCGCGGGCCGGUGUCCCCGCCCGGCCUCCCCGCAGUGCGGGCGGCGCAGGGGUUUCGCUUUGCCUCUGGCUGAGGCUGCUGUUUCGCCUCGGCGGUAGGCGUGUUGGAUGUUGCGCUGUUGGACUCUCCCCUCUGCGUUUGCAGUUCACCUUUUCAUCUUCGUUGUUAUUAUUAAUUGUAGGGAUGGCCCUCUUCUGCUAAUGAAGAAGAGAGAACAAGCGGGGUGAGGGCAGAGGGAGGGGGAGAAGCAGACUCCCCGCCGAGCAAGGAACCCCACUCGGGACUCGAUCCCACGACCCUGGGAUCAUGCCCUGAGCCGAAGGCGGACGCUUCACCGACUGAGCCACCCAGGCGCCGGCGGAUGAAAUCUUUAAACGCUCUCCAUCCACUUGUUUUUUUGAGAGGUGGAGUGGGAAGAAAGUCUGUAUGAUUUAUCCAUUCUUUAGUCAUUCGACAAACGUACACGGCGCACGGAACCAGCGCCGGCCUCGGGCUGCCGCCGGGGAUGGGGCGGGGCCGGGGGAUGGGGCGCCGCCUGGGAAUAGGGCGGGGUGGGGUCAGGGGCGGGGCCGGGGAUGGGGCGGGGCACCAGGACGCACUGGUCCCUACCCUCGUGGCUUACCCACCGACAGAGCGAGCACUCGUAGGAGUCAUUACAGCCGUGGUAAACUCCACAAGCCGUGUAGGGCUGUGAGCUUGUGUCAGCAGCAUUAGCAUGAAGGAGUCUGGCUGGAGGAGAGGAGUGUUGCAUGCUGAAGGAAGACAGUCUACGGAAGGGACGGAGAACGAGGGGAGGAGGCUGGUCACCCCGUCUUGCAGCUGUCCCUCACAGUCUGAUUUCUACACAGCAGCCAAAGUGUUAUUUUGAAAAUAUAAAUCUAAUCUUGGCACUUCCCUGUACCAAACUCUCCAGUGCAUUUCCAUCUUAGAACAAAAUUUAGACUCAUUACUGUGGUCACCAAGGCCCAGAGACUGUGGCAACCAACCUUUUCCUCCAAACUCCUUUCUCGUCCCCUCUGUCCAGCACGCUCUACCCUUUAUUGUGCUUCGUAAUUCUCAUGGCCACCUGAAAUUAUCUGGUUUUUGUCUUCCAUCCCCACUCGAAUAUAAGCUCCCCAGGGCCAAGGACUUUAUCAUCCUAUUCAUUGUUGUAUCCCCAGGACCUAGUAGAGUGGCACAUAGCAGAUGUUCAAUUAUAUUAUUUGUUGGGUGGGUGAAUUGGGGAGCACAGAGCAAGGAUGCUUAACCCAGUCAGAGGUGUCAGGAAGAUGAUUCUGAUGGCAGUAACAUUAAGUUUCAGGCCUCAAUGAUGAAAAGGAGUUCUUUUUUUUUUUUUUCCCCAAGAGAGGAGAAGAAGAAAGUACUCAUGGCCAAAGGGAGAGUAGAGGUGAAAUGAAAUAUAGCCUAUUGGAGGAAUGUGGUUGGAGCAUGAGGUGCAAAUGGACCUGAGAAAUGAAGAUGGGACAAGGGGCCAGGUCCCAUAACCUCUCUUAAGGGCAGUGUGGAGCCACUGAAGGAUUUUAGGAGAGAGAGAGAGUGGAUGCUUCAGAAUUUGUAUUUUAGUUAGAACAUCCAGUUUUGGGGGAACAGAUUGGAAGAGAAAAUUGGAGGUUAGGAGACCAAGAGAGAGAUGUUUCAGUAGUUCAGAGAAGAAAUAAUGGGGAUAAGGGUACAGAGAGAGGACAGAGUCAAGGAUGAGCCCCAGGUUCUGGGAGGAAGGGGUUGCAUUCAUAAGGAAAGAUUGGCUGUUGUUCUGAGAGAACUUUUGGAUAGCCUGCAGGGCACAGGUACUUGAGAUUGCCCUGGGCCUUACCGAGAAUGCUGUAGGUAUUGUUGAAGAGUUGGUUAAUCAAACUGACUUUAUUGUAGUAAUCACUUUGCAGUAUAUACAUGUAUCAAAGCAUCCCCCGGUCACCCUGAACUUACACAUGGUGGUACGUCAGUUGUAUCUCAAUAAGCCUGGCGGCAAAGGGGCUGGUUAAUCAGAUGAGUCCAAGGAUGAAACCACACCCUAGUGAGUAAGGGGCAGAACGGGUCUCGCUGCAGAGAGAGGUGAUUUUUGGUGUCAGUGAUCAGAAGGCGUGGUGUGUGUUCAGAUCAGAAGCCAGAGCUGACCGGUAAGAUUUGUUCAUUCGUUCAUCUAGAAAGAACUUUCUGAGCUCCUGCUCUGCGGUGCAUGAAUGAGAAAGUGCCCCUCGGGCUUGACGGUGCUGGUGACCUGGGGUUGUGAAGGGGUCCCUUCCCUGGGGAGCCGGUCUGAGGCCUCAAGGGCAAGGAGCGUACGGGAUGCUGCCUGCGGUCUCCCCGCAGGAGCUUGCAUGCGAGCCGAGCCCGCCGCCCCGCACAGGCCGCGCGACGUGGGAUCAGAGCUGCCGCGCCGCGGCACCAGCUGUUCUUGUACUUCGGCUUCUCUUUCGUUCCCAGCUGCCCUCGCUGGAGCUCGGCGGAGUCUCCUACAAGUGCUGUGCAGAGAGGACUGCGGAGUGCUUCUGUGCACCUCGGGCGCCCCUCGCGGCCGCUGCCGGCGGGCCGCCCUCGGGCAGUGGUCCUCAGCCGCCCCCUAGGGGCCGUUCUGAAAACUGGUGUCUUUCGUGGGGACCACCCUCCGGAGGCAGGCUGAGGACUUGCAGGCGCGCGGACAGGAAAGGCGCGUUACCGUCCCGCACGAGGAAAACCCAUCUCCCGUUCCACUUGACUUUGGGAUGUUCUGCUCAACAACACAGUCAAAAGAGAGAGAGAGCAGAAGCAGGGGGAGCGGCAGAGGGAGAAGCAGCCUCCUGCUGAGCAGGGAGCCCGAUGCGGGGCUCGAUCCCAGGACCCUGGGAUCAGGACCUAAGCCGAAGGGAGACGCCUAACGACUGAGCCACCCAGGCGCCCUAUGAUAAUCUCUACACCCAUCAUGCGGCUUGAACCCACGACCCCGAGAUCAAGAGUCACACACUAUACAGACUGAGCCAGCCAGGUGUCCCACCAACUUUAUUUAAAAAAUCAAAUAUAAAAGCCUCAAGAGCAAAUCACACUGUGAGAGAAAUCUGAAAGAUGAGAUGGUGUCUGUGCUGGAAAAAUAAUUUUUUAGGACUUUUAUUUUUGUAAGCAAUCUACACUCAGCAUGGGGCUCAAACCCACAACCCUGAGAUCAAGACUCACAUUCUCCAGGGAGUGGGCCAGCCGGCCGCCCCCAUGCUGGAGAACAUUUACAUUCAAACUGAAGGGUUAAGACCAAGAAACAGCAGACUUACAAACUCUGCGCCUGCCCAGUGACACAGGACGGGGCCGGGGGGCUCUGCGGCUACGAGCGAGCCGGCAGGCAGGGCCAGAUGCAGUCCACGCUCAACACCUGCUGUGGAAUGAAUGAACCGGAGGGCCCUAAGGUGUCGGGUGUCUAUGCCCGCCCCUCCCCCAGCAAGGCCUCUGUAGGAGCAGCACUUCCUGGAGAAGCAGGAAGCUGAGUGGGGCAGGUGCUGACCUGCUGACGAGGAUUCAGUUCAUUUCAACACUUUGGCACCUGCCCACUCUGUGCUUGGCCAUCUGCAUAGACUGGGUAAGACGUGCCUUCACAGAAUUAAACACAGACCUCACCUGUUGCGAUAUUUGGUGCCAAGCAGUGCACUAGAUACACAUGAUCGUGCUUAGAGCUCUCAACAAUUCUGUGAGGUUGAGUUGCCACUCCCUUUCUUUUUUUCACAGCCUUGGGGGGAGGGGCGCAGAUGCCCAGACCCUGUCCCGGGCACCUGUCCCCCCCCACCGCCACCUGUCCUCCCGGGCACCUGCCCUCCUGAGCACCUGCCCGUGCUGCUUCUAAAUAGACUCUAGAAACCCUCAUGGACUCUACUCAUCCUCCUCUGGGCCGAAGCCAAUGCCCUUUCUGCCCUGAGAGAGGGAGCUGGGUCGAUGUCCUCCCGGCCAGGAAAGGAGGACGGAGAAGGGCUACGAGCUAGGUUCUCCACACGCAAAGACUCACUGCUUCUCUUGGGGGGCGAAACUACUCCCAAACAAGACUGAAAAUGUGUGGGGAAAAACCACUGGAAAGCUCUCCGCCGCAAGAAGAUCAUAACCAUUUCUCUUGAACCACUUUAGCGCUGUCCCCCGCUACCACAAAUUAUGCAGUCGAGUUUCCCACAUUUGGGGAAAUUGCAGGGGUCGGCACAUCAGGAGUGCAACGAAUAUGGCUCAGCAUGAUGAAGACGUUGAUUGAAGGUCAAACACCCAGUACGUGGCAGAGCUGGGACUCAGACCCGGCUUGUCUCCCUGAGACGAGGCUCAGUGUCCUAGGAACCUAGAAGAAAGAAUCAAUUUUGCCUGGACUGUGUCUGGAAAGUCUUCAUUGAAGUAAUUAAACCGAAAAGACACCACAAAAAGUGGUUCCUGAGCACCUACUAGGCUCCAGGCCCUGUAUUUAUCUUAUUGAUCCAGGAGUGACCCUGGGGGGGGGGGAGUGGUAUUGCCUCCAUUUUAUAGAUGAGCAAUUGGCACCAAGAGCUACAGCUGGUCAGGUCCUAGCUGUGCGUGUCCCUCCCGCUAAAUCGUAGGUGCUGUGGUCCAGGAGCCAUCAUCAUGGACAACCCCCUUCUCACAUCCACCGAGGAUAUAGCUGUGUACACUUUCCAGUUUCUGAACCUCACAACCUCCCUGUUCUGCGGGAAAGGAAGACCAGUUAUGACAGUCCUCAUCUGAUGACAAAACAUGUCCCAAGAGGCACGAUGUUGAUGACUCCCUCUGUCCAGCUGUGCAGGCCCUCUGCCCAGGGCCCUUCCUCCCUGCUCUUCCGCCCCUUCUCCUCCAUGAAGCCUUCCUGGGUCACUCCCACCAUGAACACCUGUUAGCUCGUCUUUAUCUGUAACUACCCGUGUACACGUCCAACUUCCCUGCCUCUAGAGCCUCUGGAGGGCAAACUGUACCUUAGCCAUCUCCCAGUAUUCUGGGGCUGAGCCUGUUUUCUUAGUAUCACCCUUAUUAGUAUUACUUUACUUUUAUUUUUAAUUUUUAAAUUUAUCUUAUUUUUUUUUUUGCAAGACACUUUUUUUUUUAAAGAUUUUAUUUAUUUAUUUGAGAGAGAGAAUGAGAUGGGGGAGGUUCAGAGAGAGGCAGACUCCCCGCCG